AGCGAACGCUGGCGGCAGGCUUAACACAUGCAAGUCGAGCGGGCCUUUCGGGGUCAGCGGCGGACGGGUGAGUAACGCGUGGGAAUGUGCCUUCUGGUUCGGAAUAACUCAGGGAAACUUGAGCUAAUACCGGAUACGCCCUUUUUGGGGAAAGGUUUACUGCCGGAAGAUCGGCCCGCGUCUGAUUAGCUAGUUGGUGGGGUAACGGCCUACCAAGGCGACGAUCAGUAGCUGGUCUGAGAGGAUGAUCAGCCACACUGGGACUGAGACACGGCCCAGACUCCUACGGGAGGCAGCAGUGGGGAAUAUUGGACAAUGGGCGCAAGCCUGAUCCAGCCAUGCCGCGUGAGUGAUGAAGGCCUUAGGGUUGUAAAGCUCUUUUAUCCGGGACGAUAAUGACGGUACCGGAGGAAUAAGCCCCGGCUAACUUCGUGCCAGCCGCCGCGGUAA
rnacentral:rRNA from 1 species